GAUGAACGCUAGCUACAGGCUUAACACAUGCAAGUCGAGGGGAAACGACAUCGAAAGCUUGCUUUUGAUGGGCGUCGACCGGCGCACGGGUGAGUAACGCGUAUCCAACCUGCCCACCACUUGGGGAUAACCUUGCGAAAGUAAGACUAAUACCCAAUGAUAUCUCUAGAAGACAUCUGAAAGAGAUUAAAGAUUUAUCGGUGAUGGAUGGGGAUGCGUCUGAUUAGCUUGUUGGCGGGGUAACGGCCCACCAAGGCGACGAUCAGUAGGGGUUCUGAGAGGAAGGUCCCCCACAUUGGAACUGAGACACGGUCCAAACUCCUACGGGAGGCAGCAGUGAGGAAUAUUGGCCAAUGGGCGAGAGCCUGAACCAGCCAAGUAGCGUGCAGGAAGACGGCCCUAUGGGUUGUAAACUGCUUUUAUAGGGGAAUAAAGUGAGCCACGUGUGGUUUUUUGCAUGUACCCUAUGAAUAAGGACCGGCUAAUUCCGUG
rnacentral:rRNA from 1 species